CCCACUAUGCUUACCAGUAAACCCAGGCAGCAUGCCCAACCCACUGCCCGCCAGAGAAUUACAAGUGAAAAACUUAAAACUCAAAGGACUUGACGGUGUCCCACAUCACCCUAGAGGAGCCUGUCCCAUAAUCGAUAACCCACGCUUAACCCGACCUGCCCUCGCAACAAACAGCCUAUAUACCGCCGCCUACGCCCACCUUAUAAGAGAGCCAACAGUGGGCUAACUAGCCACCACUAAAACGCCAGGUCAAGGUGUAGCUAACGCGCAGGAGGAGAUGGGCUACAUUUUCUACCACAUAGAAAACAACUGACAACACUAUGAAACCGUGCCAACCGGUGGAUUUAGCAGUAAGCCGCGCAAGUCUGCCCGACUGAACCCU
rnacentral:rRNA from 1 species